rnacentral:rRNA from 1 species
GAUGAAUGCUGGCGGCGUGCCUAAUACAUGCAAGUCGAGCGAAUGGAUUAAGAGCUUGCUCUUAUGAAGUUAGCGGCGGACGGGUGAGUAACACGUGGGUAACCUGCCCAUAAGACUGGGAUAACUCCGGGAAACCGGGGCUAAUACCGGAUAACAUUUUGAACCGCAUGGUUCGAAAUUGAAAGGCGGCUUCGGCUGUCACUUAUGGAUGGACCCGCGUCGCGUUAGCUAGUUGGUGAGGUAACGGCUCACCAAGGCAACGAUGCGUAGCCGACCUGAGAGGGUGAUCGGCCACACUGGGACUGAGACACGGCCCAGACUCCUACGGGAGGCAGCAGUAGGGAAUCUUUCGCAAUGGACGAAAGUCUGACGGAGCAACGCCGCGUGAGUGAUGAAGGCUUUCGGGUCGUAAAACUCUGUUGUUAGGGAAGAACAAGUGCUAGUUGAAUAAGCUGGCACCUUGACGGUACCUAACCAGAAAGCCACGGCUAACUACGUGCCAGCCGCCGCGGUAA